AAAGGAACUCUAAAGUAUAGGAGGUGAAGCCUGCCCUAUGGUUGUAUCUGAAAGAAUAACGAAGUAGUUAUUUAUAAAGACAAUUUAAUGGCCGCGGUAUUCCUGACUGUGAAAAUGUAGCGCAAUCAAUCGUCAAUUAAUUGUUGACAAGUAUGAAUGGCGUCACGAGUGCUUGACUGUCUUAAGAAAAACCCCAAUGAAAUUGAAUUCGUAGUUAAGAUGCUACGUAAAUUUGUAAGACGAAAAGACCCUAUUAAGCUUUACUGGAAGCUUAUAUUGUCUUAGUAAAAACUGUAAUAGAUGGGAGAUGUUGUUAAUCAAUUUAAUUUUAUUAUUCUGUAAGUUUAUACCAUACCAAUAAUAUAUAUGAAAGACUAUUUUGCCAUCAAAGAAAGAAUUAGUAUGUUAGACAGUUUGGUUGGGGCGACUCCCUUAAAAAUGAUAACUGAGGGGCACUAAGGUAAUAAAGAAAGAGCUUGACUGUUAGAGGGCCCUCAAACAGACACUAAAGUGGGUAAAUUGAUCCGUUAAUACAAGUGGAAUUGUUAGCGAUAARCGAAUAAAAGUUACUAUAGGGAUAACAGCGUAAUAUUGUUAGAGAGUUCACAUUAACAACAAUGUUUGCGACCUCGAUGUUGAAUUGCGGCAUCCUAAGGGUGCAGCAGCUCUUUAAGGUUAGUCUGUUCGACUAUUAAA
rnacentral:rRNA from 1 species